rnacentral:lncRNA from 1 species
GGGCUCCAUGAUCACUGCAGAUGGAGACAGCAGCUAUGAAAUUAAAAGACACCUGAUUCUUGGGAGGAAAGCAAUGACAAACCUUGACAGCAUCUUAAAAAGCAGAGACAUCACCUUGCCGACAAAGGUCUGCAUAGUCAAAGCUAUGGUUUUUCCUGUAGUGAUGUAUGGAAGUGAGAGCUGGACCAUAAAGAAAGCUGACUGCUGAAAAAUUGAUGCCUUUGAAUUGUGGUGCUGGAGGAGGCUCUUGAGAGUCCCCUGGACUGCAAGGAGAACAAACCUAUCGAUUCUAAAGGAAAUCAAACCUGAGUGCUCACUGGAAGGACAGAUCCUAAAGCUGAGGCUCCAAUACUUUGGUCAUCUCAUGAGAAGAGAACACUCCUUGGAAAAGACCUUAUGUUGGGAAAAUGUGAGGGUAAGAGGAGAAGGGGACGACAGAGGAUGAGAUCGUUGGACAGUGUCAUCAAAGCGACCAACAUGAAUUUGACACAACUUCAGGAGGCAGUGGAAGAUAGGAGGGCCUGGCAUGCUCUGGUCCCAUGGGGUCACGAAGAGUCGGACAUGACUAAAUGAUUAAACGACCAACAACAGUGGAGAAAGAGCGAAUACUUUUUGCCUAGAGUUUUUAAUAACAAAAAAGUUCUUCCUUUUCACACUGUGCGUAGGAAGAAUAUAUUGUGCCCAAGGCAAAGCAUUUACACACAAAAGAGGGUUGAAGACAGAGAGAAGGACAGAAUUUCACAGUACUUUACAAGACUGCCUGUUGAAGAAAACUUGGCUCCUUAUUACACAAAUUCAAGCAGGUGCAGGAGGCUAUCAAUGACCACUGGAAACAAAGACGGCCCGAAAUGUGAACUUGCUUUCACCUCUUAUUAUUCUACAGCAAUAUCAAAGGUUAAUGUGCAAAAUAAUUUAGGUCACCAUGAUUUGAAACCAGUAGACCAUGGAAGCUUCUUUCAGUGCCAGUCCAGUCUUACAAGCAACGUUUCAGAGCAUUUGCAUAGCUGCGACUAGAGCAAUUCCAUAUUGGAUAUUACUAUUUUUGCAACAGACCACUGCCACAAAUAAUUAAAAAGAAUACUACCUUGCCCAAGAUUAUCCAUUUAUUCAAAGAAUUCAGGCUUACAUAUCCUACACCUCAAUGCAAUACUGGCCUCCUUCCUUCUUUUCCCCAUAGAAAUAUAAAACCUAGUUGGUGCAGGGAAGAUUGUGGGUUUUUUUAUGGCUAUGGGUGGCUUGUGUACAUUCUUAGCACUGUACAAAUAAAACUACUGCUGCAAUAUGACUAUAUUAUAAU